rnacentral:tRNA from 1 species
UCCCUGGUGGCUCAGAGGGUCAAGUAUCUGCCUGCAAUGCAGGAAACCCGGGUUCAAUCCCUGGGUUGGGAA